UCAGUAUCUAAUACUUAUAAAAUAUUCUAAAUCGGCUAAGCCAAAUGAGAUCUAAGUGGAACAUUCCAUUCGAGAUGUAAAGUCAAUGCUACGCUGAACAUCAUUCAAUUCUUUGACCAUACUGGUGUCUUACUCUGAGUGGCCAUUGAUUCCAUGAUAAUGACGAUGAUGGUUAAAAUAGUACAAUUCCUAGUAAUUAACAAGUCAAAAUAAUCUUAAAAUUUUUUCUUGGCCCUCAUGAGUCAUGACCAUGCAAAAAACGAAAAAA
rnacentral:lncRNA from 1 species